GUCUUUCUAGCCUCCGCCUCCAGGCGGGUGAGGAGGUGACACCUGAGAAUUCCUCCCUCUCACCCCUGACCCUGCCGGAAAGCGAAACUGAGAUGCGGGCAUUGGGCCCUGGGAAGCGUGGGGAAGGGGAAAGGAGAAAGCCAGGUUAACUACGUCAGGAUUAAUGUGUUCCACUUCUGCUGCCUGAGGCCCCUCAACCAUCCUGAGCAAUGCAGGAAAUAAGAGAAAGAUCAUCUGCCUGGGCUGCUGCAGUUCUCCUCACAGCACAAUGCAACCAAAAUCAUUUAUAAACAGACAAAAAUAACAAUCUGAAUUAUCUAACAUUAGCAGUUGAACUGAAGAGCCCAAGAUUAUGUGAUGAAUUGUUAAAUUGCAGUAGCAUUGUUUUGGAUUGCUAAUUAAAAAAAAUAAGCAAACCCCAUGACUCUAGAUAUGACAACUGAAAAUACCCACAAAUUAUUUAAUAAAUGAAGUGUCUAACAACUUUAACACUUCCUGGUCGCCCUGUUAAUAAAUGUAAUUUGAGGUAGAUUUUUAAAA
ensembl:lncRNA LINC01806 long intergenic non-protein coding RNA 1806